ensembl:lncRNA
UCCAAUCAGCGCAGACAACUUUCAGGGCAAUUUCAGAGGUGUCAGCCACAGAGCCCGUUAGUGGCAAAAUAAAGGAGGGUCCCGUUUUGACUGACAUUAUCUGAAGCAGGCACAGGUCCGCUUGCUGCAGCCUGCCAAUGAAUCCUGCCGCAGCUCAGCACACACCGUCCAGGCAGCUGCAAGCAAUAACAGCUCUGUGAUUAGGUUUCUAAUCAAGACAAAACAAGUCAUAUCCGCAGUUAUUGGGCUGCAGAGAGAUUUACAUAUCUUUUUGGCACUGAGAACCCUUUCGUAAGAGGCUGCCUGGUGUGGAUUUCGGCCAUGCAAAGAGACAAGUUUUUGUUUUUUUCCCCGACAACAUUGCUUGGAUAGCAAAGCGAAGGUAGAUGUUUAUCGGUAUGAUGGAUUGCCUGGAUGGAACACCAUUUGAAAGAUGCAUUAUCGCCUGGUCCAAAGCCCAUGUGGGUGUGUGAUCAGAUACCGACACAAACCAGAGCGUCUCAGCCUAGUCAGCUGACUAAACAUGCGUUGCUGGGGAGAGCCGCGCACGCAUGAUCAAGCCAACACUCAGCAGGUUUUGAUGCUCCAUAUCACCCCGACACAAGAAGUGGUCCUGCCACCUUGUGUCCUUGUGUUUCAAAAACAACUGCUGAUCAGCUUCCAUUAUUGCUCCACAUCAACUUACAUGAUUUCCAGUGGUUUUAUUCCGGUUGUAAAAUAUAAACUCCUUCAGGAUUUUCAGAAGAGUAACAGGCAUUUCAACCGUGAGUUUAAAUAUUUAGCAACAGCCCUCCGGGGCUUUUGAGAGUCUGAAAUGAGAUAAUUUGUAGAGUGUUUUUUGCAAUGACAGAACAGUGGCAGACAGAGCUACAGAGAG